rnacentral:rRNA from 1 species
GACGAACGCUGGCGGCGUGCUUAACACAUGCAAGUCGAACGGUGAAGCGCCUUCCUUUUUGGUGGGUGUGGAUGAGUGGCGAACUGGUGAGUAACACGUGAGUAACCUGCCCCCUUCUUCUGGAUAACCGCAUGAAAGUGUGGCUAAUACGGGAUAUUCUGGGUCUGUCGCAUGAUGGGUCUGGGAAAGAUAUUGUUUCGGUGGGGGAUGGGCUCGCGGCCUAUCAGCUUGUUGGUGGGGUGAUGGCCUACCAAGGCGGUGACGGGUAGCCGGCCUGAGAGGGUGGACGGUCACACUGGGACUGAGACACGGCCCAGACUCCUACUGGAGGCAGCAGUGGGGAAUAUUGCACAAUGGGCGCAAGCCUGAUGCAGCGACGCCGCGUGAGGGAUGGAGGCCUUCGGGUUGUGAACCUCUUUCGCCAGUGAAGCAGGCCUGCCUCGUUUGUGGGUGGGUUGACGGUAGCUGGAUAAGAAGCGCCGGCUAACUACGUG